rnacentral:rRNA from 1 species
UACAGAGGUGGCAAGCGUUGCUCGGUAUCACUGGGCUUAAAGGGCGCGUAGGCGGUGCGGUGCGGUUUCGGUGAAAUCCCUCGGCCCAACCGAGGAACAGCCGGGGCUACGGCCGCGCUAGACGGCAUCAGGGGACAGUGGAACUCCCGGUGGAGCGGUGAAAUGCGUAGAUAUCGGGAGGAACAUCAGUGGCGAAGGCGGCUGCCUGGCUCAAUACUGACACUCAGGUGCGACAGCGUGGGGAGCAAACAGG